rnacentral:rRNA from 1 species
UAGGGAAUCUUCGGCAAUGGACGAAAGCCUGUCCGAGCAACGCCGCGCGAGUGAAGAAGGUUUUCGGAUCGUAAAACUCUGUUGUUAGAGAAGAACAAGGACGUUAGUAACUGAACGUCCCCUGACGGUAUCUAACCAGAAAGCCACCGCUAACUACGUGCCAGCAGCCGCGGUAAUACGUAGGUGGCAAGCGUUGUCCGGAUUUAUUGGGCGUAAAGCGAGCGCAGGCGGUUUCUUAAGUCUGAUGUGAAAGCCCCCGGCUCAACCGGGGAGGGUCAUUGGAAACUGGGAGACGUGAGUGCAGAAGAGGAGAGUGGAAUUACGUGUGUAGCGGUGAAAUGCGUAGAUGUAUGGAGGAACACCAGUGGCGAAGGCGGCUCUCUGGUCUGUAACUGACGCUGAGGCUCGAAAGCGUGGGGAGCAAACAGG